CCUACGGGCGGCAGCAGUGGGGAAUAUUGGACAAUGGGCGAAAGCCUGAUCCAGCCAUGCCGCGUGUGUGAAGAAGGCCUUCGGGUUGUAAAGCACUUUCAGUGGGGAAGGAAGCCUUGGGGCUAAUACCCUCGAGGAAGGACAUCACCCACAGAAGAAGCACCGGCUAACUCCGUGCCAGCAGCCGCGGUAAUACGGAGGGUGCGAGCGUUAAUCGGAAUUACUGGGCGUAAAGCGCGCGUAGGCGGUCUGAUAAGCCGGUUGUGAAAGCCCCGGGCUCAACCUGGGAACGGCAUCCGGAACUGUCAGGCUAGAGUGCAGGAGAGGAAGGUAGAAUUCCCGGUGUAGCGGUGAAAUGCGUAGAGAUCGGGAGGAAUACCAGUGGCGAAGGCGGCCUUCUGGACUGACACUGACGCUGAGGUGCGAAAGCGUGGGUAGCAAACAGGAUUAGAUACCCGAGUAGUC
rnacentral:rRNA from 1 species